UAAAGGCAGGCAGCCAGGUGGCAGAGAGGUCAGUGAGAAGGCUACUGCAGCUGUGCAGAUGCCACAGAUGAGCCUCCCGUUUCCCAUGCUGGCCUGGCAGAGGGUCAGAGCUCCUGCUACGUGGCAGAAGUUAUAAGCAGGAGGCGGGAGGACAAAUCACUGCUGAGAUCCAAAAGCUUGAAAUGCCUGACAAUGUCAAACUGUAGCCAGGAAACCUUUGUUUACUUCAUGUUCUCUGGACCAAAGCAGAAAAAUCACAGCUCCUCCAAUACUGCCUCAUAAAACAAGUUGAGGAGAAGGAGAAGGAAAAAGAUGAAGAUGAAG